GUGGAAUUGGGAGCCUUUUAAAGGAGAUUAAAAAAAAAAGUCUUUUGUGAGAAUAAGCCCAGAAAUGCAUUGUAAAUAGUUGCUUAGUUGCUGUGUAAAGAUAAGAGUCAGCUUAAAGAUCUCUAAAGUUGAAAUAUAUGUGGUUUUGUAUGUUCCUCUGGUUUAGCACAAAGCAUAGGAGUGGAAAAAGCAAAUAUUGAGUGUUUGGUUAAAAGGGGAAAAAGACAAAGACAUAGAGACAUUCAAGAAGACCACAUUGAAAUGUAUAAUCUUGUGCCAAGAAGAGUCUAUUAAGGCAGUUUCCUGUGAAGAAAUGGUGUGAGUGAUGUGGAAGGGAGUUGAAUGAUUUUAGAUUUUGAUGAUGACAAAGAACAUGUUAGUGUUGCUAAGGGAAUGAUAACUAGGAGACUGUGGUCACUGUGAUAACCACUCAAUGCUAAAUGAUGAUUGAGAACCAGAGAAAGGAGAGGGUUGGAGUUUGGAAAGAAGCUUGUCUUUUGUAACCGUCUAUAUACUCUCUCCUCCAGUCUUUUCAUGAGUGUAGGAAGUCAAACUAUGUGAGAGAGAAUUGUAGAAAGCAUGGAAGCAAUUCCAUGCAUCCGCAGAUGGGCACCUGGGGAAUCCUGGGUCAGGUUUCCGGUGAGUUGAAAAUGAUCAAAGGAAAACUUCCUUCCUCAAAGCAUCGUAGGAGGACAUGGAAGCAGAGUGCUGGGGAGGACCAGGAAAAGCCAGGGAUGAGAUGAGACAGCUAUAAGUAAGCAGCCCCAGUGAGUGUGAAGGAUUGGUAGAAAUGUUACUGAUGAUGUGAAAGAUUUAGACAGAGGGAUUAGGUAUGGUGUAUGAUGAGUUUGGUAGUUGAGGAGCCCUUAUUACAGGUAAUAUAGCUUCUCCCAAGCUCACUUGCAAACUGGAAGGCUUUUUUAAAAAUGGGCUUCCACCUAUGAAGGGAAAGCAUCUGCUCUUACAUAGUUGGAUUAGGUCAUUCUGCUUUAUUUAUAUAUCAAAUAAGAAUUAAGGUACUGGUGAACAGUAGAGAUAAAGUAAGAAUUUUAUUGUAACAGGUUAUAAAAAUAUUUUGAUAAUUUCCCCCAAAGAGAAUGUACUAUGAAUAAAUAAAAUCUACAAAUUAUUGGGCUAAUUUACCCUUGUUUCUUAUAUUUUGUAUACUUAGGAGGUGACCUCUAGGAAAAAAUUGCUGAAGAGGUAGUAGAGCAGGGUGAAGAUACCGUAUACUGUCAUCCCUAGGUAUCUGUAGGGGAUUGGUUCCACAGAUUGCAAAAUUCUUGGAUUCUCAAGUCCUCGAUAUAAGACAGUGUAGUAUUUGCAUAUGACCUGCACAUAUAUGGGAGGCCGUAUAUUUUAAAUAAUCUCUAGAUUACUUCUAAUACCUAUUACAAUGUAAGUGCUAUGUAAAUAGUUGUUAUAUUGUUUAGAGACUGACGAAAACUGCAUGCUUAAUAAAUUACACAAUUUUUUAAA
rnacentral:lncRNA from 1 species